UACAUGAGUGGCGAGCGUUAUCCGUAAUUAUUGGGCGUAAAGGAUGCGUAGACGGUAAAAGAAGUUGUAAUCUACUAUAACAGAUAACUGGGUUGAUUUACAAAACCUUUUUACUAGAGUUUUUUUUAAGUGUAUAACAUCUGCAAACUAGCGAUAAAAUGCUUUGAGUCUGUAGGUAUUUUCAAAUACGGAAGUAAUAUGCUGAAAAAAACUGACGUUGAGGCAUUAAAGUAUGGUUAUCAAAUAGG
rnacentral:rRNA from 1 species